rnacentral:rRNA from 1 species
GUGGGGAAUUUUGCGCAAUGGGCGAAAGCCUGACGCAGCAACGCCGCGUGAGCGAUGAAGGCCUUCGGGUCGUAAAGCUCUGUCAAGUGGGAAGAACACAAUGACGGUACCACUAGAGGAAGCCCCGGCUAACUUCGUGCCAGCAGCCGCGGUAAUACGAAGGGGGCAAGCGUUGUUCGGAAUUAUUGGGCGUAAAGCGUGUGUAGGUGGUUGUUCAAGUCAGACGUGUAAGCCCUCGGCUCAACCGAGGAAUUGCGUUUGAAACUGAUCGACUUGAGUACAGGAGAGGAAAGCGGAAUUCCCAGUGUAGCGGUGAAAUGCGUUGAUAUUGGGAAGAACACCGGUGGCGAAGGCGGCUUUCUGGCCUGUUACUGACACUGAGAUACGAAAGCUAGGGGAGCAAAGGGG